rnacentral:rRNA from 1 species
UACGGAGGGUCCAAGCGUUAUCCGGAAUUAUUGGGCGUAAAGAGCUCGUAGGCGGUUUGUCGCGUCUGCUGUGAAAACUCGGGGCUUAACCCCGGGCCUGCAGUGGGUACGGGCAGACUAGAGUGCGGUAGGGGAGACUGGAAUUCCUGGUGUAGCGGUGAAAUGCGCAGAUAUCAGGAGGAACACCGGUGGCGAAGGCGGGUCUCUGGGCCGUAACUGACGCUGAGGAGCGAAAGCGUGGGGAGCGAACAGG